UUUUUUAAUAUCAUAUCAUAAUAAAUAUUAGUUUUAUAACAAAAAAACCCUUUAAAAAUCUCUUUACUUAAUUUUACAUGAUAUUAAAUAAAACUGACGUAGCAUCCAUUACGAGAACAAAAGCAAAGAUAAAAUGAUUGCCGACUCAGAUACACGGUUUCGACUGGAGUUGAAAACUGAGUUGAAAACUUCUCUUUGAGAUAUUUUUGGUGUCGGAAGUAAUAAAGAUACUUGAACGUCUCGUCCUAAGUUUGGAACCGUCUUUUAUUAUUAUCGACAAGAAUUGGGUUAUCAGAUAAGUUUGCCAACGGUCAAGAUUGGAGUAGAGACGGUCCACGGUCCCAAAACUUUAUUCUGCGUUUGAGACUGCUCAACUUACUGGAGCAGUUAAUUUUAGUUGUGGACUACUUAAAAACGUUUUCAGUUUUAUAGCGAUUACGAAUAUUCUUUAUUAAAUUGUGAAAUCUUAAUAUAUAUGAACUAGCGACCUGCCCCGCACAGGUGCAAUGCUGAUACUAAAUAUAAAAUAUAAAAUAAAUAUUUUCAAUGUUAACGCCAAAAAAAAUGUGUUUAUUUACGACAUUACAUUAGAAACGCCUAAAACUAUCAGUGUUUCUCUGCUAUAUAAACCUUCCUCUGGAAUCA
rnacentral:misc_RNA from 1 species